rnacentral:rRNA from 1 species
UACGAAGGGGGCUAGCGUUGCUCGGAAUCACUGGGCGUAAAGGGUGCGUAGGCGGGUCUUUAAGUCAGGGGUGAAAUCCUGGAGCUCAACUCCAGAACUGCCUUUGAUACUGAGGAUCUCGAGUCCGGGAGAGGUGAGUGGAACUGCGAGUGUAGAGGUGAAAUUCGUAGAUAUUCGCAAGAACACCAGUGGCGAAGGCGGCUCACUGGCCCGGAACUGACGCUGAGGUGCGAAAGCGUGGGGAGCAAACAGG